AGAGUUUGAUCCUGGCUCAGGAUGAACGCUGGCGGCGUGCCUAACACAUGCAAGUCGAACGAAGCUCCUGCGACAGAUUCCUUCGGGAUGAAGAUGCUUGAGACCUAGUGGCGGACGGGUGAGUAACGCGUGGGUAACCUGCCCUGUACUGGGGGACAACAGUUAGAAAUGACUGCUAAUACCGCAUAAGCCUACGGAGUCGCAUGGCUCAGUAGGAAAAAUUCCGGUGGUACAGGAUGGGCCCGCGUCUGAUUAGCUAGUUGGUGAGGUAAUGGCUCGCCAAGGCGACGAUCAGUAGCCGGCUUGAGAGAAUGAACGGCCACAUUGGGACUGAGACACGGCCCAAACUCCUACGGGAGGCAGCAGUGGGGAAUAUUGCACAAUGGGGGAAACCCUGAUGCAGCAACGCCGCGUGAGUGAAGAAGUAUUUCGGUAUGUAAAGCUCUAUCAGCAGGGAAGAAAAUGACGGUACCUGACUAAGAAGCUCCGGCUAACUACGUGCCAGCAGCCGCGGUAAUACGUAGGGAGCGAGCGUUGUCCGGAAUUACUGGGUGUAAAGGGAGCGUAGGCGGGACGGCAAGUCAGAUGUGAAAACUAUGGGCUCAACCCAUAGACUGCAUUUGAAACUGUUGUUCUUGAGUGAGGUAGAGGUAAGCGGAAUUCCUGGUGUAGCGGUGAAAUGCGUAGAGAUCAGGAGGAACAUCGGUGGCGAAGGCGGCUUACUGGGCCUUUACUGACGCUGAGGCUCGAAAGCGUGGGGAGCAAACAGGAUUAGAUACCCUGGUAGUCCCAGCCGUAAACGAUG
rnacentral:rRNA from 1 species